rnacentral:tRNA from 1 species
GCCGAAGUGGCGGAACUGGCAGACGCGCUGCGUUCAGGGCGCAGUGGGCUUUACGCCCAUGUGGGUUCGACUCCCACCUUCGGCA